UACGAAGGGGGCUAGCGUUGCUCGGAAUCACUGGGCGUAAAGCGCACGUAGGCGGAUUGCUAAGUCAGGGGUGAAAUCCUGGAGCUCAACUCCAGAACUGCCUUUGAUACUGGCAACCUUGAGUCCGGGAGAGGUGAGUGGAACUGCAAGUGUAGAGGUGAAAUUCGUAGAUAUUCGCAAGAACACCAGUGGCGAAGGCGGCUCACUGGCCCGGUACUGACGCUGAGGUGCGAAAGCGUGGGGAGCAAACAGG
rnacentral:rRNA from 1 species